UUCGGUUCCUGCAAAACCGCCCCCUCUGUUAUUUCAACCACGACAUCACUUCCUUUCCUCCUUUUGAUCAUGACCCAUAUCAGAAUCAAGCAAGGAGAACGAAAGAUCCAAGAAAAUCAGAGAGGAGAUGAGAGAACCUGAGCACUGCUUAAGCAACCGGAAAGGAGCAAACUUUCCCUCACCACAACGGAGAAACAGUGGAAGAAUAAAAAAAGUUGAAGAUCGAUUGAAGACUACACCAUUGGAAAAGAAAUCAAAUCAGUGAUGGAAGAAGAAGAUGGAACUUCAACUCUGGGUGUCUUCGAUGGAACAACAACAACAGGUAGACGGCUCGACCAGAUCAAGCUGAAGAAACAAGGAUUUGUCAAACACCAGAUUAAACAGAUCCUCCCACUCUUUCUCCUCCAUUUUUCCUUUCCCGUGAAUGUUUUCUGUAGAGAACACGUAGCCGGCGAGGCAUUCCCUUGGAGCUCAACGGCAAGAGCAAAGGAAACAGACCGGAAAGCCUUCCAACGGUGCUGGAAUGAACUCCUAACUAACGAAACCAUGCUGUUUCGCCACGGUGAAGUAACCAUCGCUGCCGGAAUGGUGCCGGAAAGAAGAAAGUGUCAAACCUGGAUGAAUGAAGAGUAAUUUCCCUCAAAAGUCAAGGGCAGCAGCGUCUUCACACCAAAGAAACAGGGGCAUCCUAGUAAUACAACAGGUAAAAAGCAAGGGCAGCAGCGUCACAAAGUGAGAAAGAUGAGGGUGUUUCUGGUAAGAUGCAAAAUCCAUUGGGUCUGAGGGAGGAACAACCGAACAACGGUUCACAUGCUCAAACUUCAGCUUUGUUGACGGGGAGUGCAAGACAAAUUUGCCGGUUAAAAUAACAUUGUUUGGGGAAAAGUUUGGUCUCAUGUGAGUAGCUGCCUUAGCUCAAGGACUAAAUGAGGCCAGUCAUGUGCACACUAUGUUAGAAAGAUAAAGAAAGCUCCAUUCUUCUUGUUUUAUACUUGCUUUUGAAAUAUUAUAUAGAAAUUGUGUCAUCUGAUGAUUAACCUCACUAAUAUAUGGGAAAAAAGCCGCAUGACUAUAUAUGGUAUGCCACUAUCAUUUUUGAGA